rnacentral:sRNA from 1 species
ACGUUGCCACUGCAUUUGUGACCGAGCACUUGGAUCUGUCUCGCAUAUCCCACCUGGAAGGGGCAGGAGGAUCGCGUGGGUCCCCAGCUGAUCCGUGCUAUGAGGCAGGGCCUGGCCAUCCUGCCCUCAGACCGGGAUACUCGAGCUGGCCUUACCCAGGCAUCUCUCCCUCUUCCCCGCAGCCGAGGCCUGCCUGGAGCCCCAGAUCACCCCUUCCUACUACACCACUUCUGACGCUGUCAUUUCCACUGAGACCGUCUUCAUUGUGGAGAUCUCCCUGACAUGCAAGAACAGGGUCCAGAACAUGGCUCUCUAUGCUGACGUCGGUGGAAAACAAUUCCCUGUCACUCGAGGCCAGGAUGUGGGGCGUUAUCAGGUGUCCUGGAGCCUGGACCACAAGAGCGCCCAUGCAGGCACCUAUGAGGUUAGAUUCUUCGACGAGGAGUCCUACAGCCUCCUCAGGAAGGCUCAGAGGAAUAACGAGGACAUUUCCAUCAUCCCGCCUCUGUUUACAGUCAGCGUGGACCAUCGGGGCACUUGGAACGGGCCCUGGGUGUCCACUGAGGUGCUGGCUGCGGCGAUCGGCCUUGUGAUCUACUACUUGGCCUUCAGUGCGAAGAGCCACAUCCAGGCCUGACGGCGGCACCCCAGCCCUGCCCUUGCUUCCUUCAAUAAACAUCACAGGACCUGGGACUGCACAG